rnacentral:lncRNA from 1 species
UGCAAAGUUCGAGAGCUUCCUCCUCAUUGGGUAUACCGAGUUUUUGACCAUCUCCUGAUGCACGUUUGUAUCCACAAACAACAGAUGAACCCAAAGACCCCAAUAGGCUUGAAGUGAUACUAGUGAAAACCCCAAUAGCGGCUUGAGAAAGGGAAUAUGAACUAGAGUCCUUUAAAUUGUUAUAGUUCAAAUCCAACACAUCCUGGCAGUUACAUUUAAAUUUAGUACCUACAACCAUUUACUAAAAACUGAACCACGCAUUAUAUACACCUAUUACCAAUAACUGAUGUGGCCAUGAUUUGAUGUUCCCUCUAAAUUGUUAGAUUGUUAUUAUGACAACUCAGGGUUGGGUUCCAUCAUUAGGAAUUAUUUCCUCAUAAAAAAUUUCAAAUAUGAACUCAACUUCAAAGGUCAAGUCAUCACUCAGAUAGAAUUUAUUAAUUAUGUGGGAAAUUUAUUGUCGGGCUAAUACAACAGAGUCUGCAUAUACUAUCAAUGUCUAUCAACGGUUCUUUUAGUGGAAAGUAAAAAGUUUGCUUCUUGCUACUUUCUGUAACCCUGUUCCAAUUUUUUUGAACUCUUUACCAAAUUGCUACGAGUUAUUGUCUCACUUCAGGAAUAAUUCAAUUCUUAACAGUUUAAGAGAGGUAGAAUUAUGUCACCUUUCCUUUCUGGCCCACAAGUUGGUUCUCUUGUGCUGCAAUGUCCCCAUUUGAUUGAUGAGUAUUUUCAUCGUUUAGCAUAGAAGUGGCAGUUGUGUCGUCACAUUUAUCAACCCGAUAUAUCUCAUAUGGUGCGACCUAUGAUAUUUUUGAGUAAUCAACA